rnacentral:lncRNA from 12 species
GUUCUUGUCCUGGUUGCAGCUCCUGUUGUGCAGAGCAGGUGACGGCACGCGUGGGCCUUCAGCUCUGCCGGGAGCACAUGUCCACGGUGGGUGACGGGCGGACGCCCCCAGGGAUGGACGGCAGCGCAAGCUGCCCACGUCCCCCCAACAAGAAAGCAGCCUUCGUCUUCCCGCUGCCUUCCCGAGGCCACACUUGAUGGUGGCGGACGUCGUCAGUGAGCCCGAGGAGUCCCCUGGGAACUCCCGAGACCACCCCCCCCAAGGCCGACGGGCUCCGCUCACAUCCAAUCUGCGUUUGCAUCCGUGACGCCUCUCACCUCCCAUGGGAUUCCUGGGGCCAUCUCUGCCUUUUCCCUGUAGGACAAGCUCCAGUUAUGGGAAACCAGAAAACACGCACGUUCAACAAACAGUUUGAUGCAGAAACAACAUUGUCAUCAUAAUAAAGGCAGAGGCUGGCGAAAUAAAACUCACUCCGUAGAUUCCAAAGAUUAGGUUUAAAGGAAGCCUGGUGUAGGGAAGAAAAGCAGGGAGAUAUCAGUUCAUGGAAGUCUGUCCUGUAAAUGCAAAGGCACGUGACGUAUUCCAGCAGGAUCUACGUCUCCUUCCCGACUUUACCACGGACGCAUCUGGCAGGUCACCAUUCAGGGUGACGUCUGCUGAGGUUUUGGUGAGUAACGUGGGAAUCCCCUCUUCUCUUCUUCUGGUGGGAAUGGACUUUGGAAAUGGUGAUAUGGCUCUUCUCCUUCCGUCUGUUAAUGAUGAAUUAUACUAAUAGAUUGUAAAUGUUUACUUGUUUAUGGAUUCUCAAGCCUAACUAGUCAUAGUGUAUUAAUUUUACAUAAAUUGAUGGAUUGAGCAAAUUAAUAUUUCGUCAGGAUUCUUUAAUGCUGUUUCCGUGUUGGCAACAUCCACGUUAUACAAUCACCAUGCACUACAUAGAAAGCUUUUCUUUAAUUUUCUGUGCCCCGGAACACUUGGCAUAAAAUAGUUUGUCUUCCAGAAAUUUGGGAAAAUUCUCCUGGUAAGUAUCUGGCUCAGGAGAGAUCUUGAUUUCUUGAUGUGCGUGUGCAGCGUGCAUAUAUCUGUUUCAAUUAAAGACUCAAUAUUUUACUGAUUAUAAGACCUUAAUGGUUUUCUAUUGUUUCUGAGUUAGUGUUGGUGCUAGGUACUUUUUUUUUAAUAAUAAAUUGUCCUUUGAUUUUUUUUUAAGAUUUUUG